GACGAACGCUGGCGGCGUGCUUAACACAUGCAAGUCGAACGGAAAGGCCCUUCGGGGUACUCGAGUGGCGAACGGGUGAGUAACACGUGGGUGAUCUGCCCUGCACUUUGGGAUGAGCCUGGGAAACUGGGUCUAAUACCGAAUAGGACCACGCGCUUCAUGGUGUGUGGUGGAAAGCUUUUGCGGUGUGGGAUGGGCCCGCGGCCUAUCAGCUUGUUGGUGGGGUAAUGGCCUACCAAGGCGACGACGGGUAGCCGGCCUGAGAGGGUGACCGGCCACACUGGGACUGAGAUACGGCCCAGACUCCUACGGGAGGCAGCAGUGGGGAAUAUUGCACAAUGGGCGCAAGCCUGAUGCAGCGACGCCGCGUGAGGGAUGACGGCCUUCGGGUUGUAAACCUCUUUCAAUAGGGACGAAGCGCAAGUGACGGUACCUAUAGAAGAAGCACCGGCCAACUACGUG
rnacentral:rRNA from 1 species